UAAGGAAUAUUGGUCAAUGGACGCAAGUCUGAACCAGCCAUGCCGCGUGAAGGAUGAAGGUCCUCUGGAUUGUAAACUUCUUUUAUCUGGGACGAAAACGGGAUUUUUAUCUCAAUUGACGGUACCAGAGGAAUAAGCACCGGCUAACUCCGUGCCAGCAGCCGCGGUAAUACGGAGGGUGCGAGCGUUAUCCGGAUUUACUGGGUUUAAAGGGUGCGUAGGUGGGCUUAUAAGUCAGUGGUGAAAUCUCCGAGCUUAACUUGGAAACUGCCGUUGAUACUAUAGGUCUUGAAUUAUCUGGAGGUAAGCGGAAUAUGUCAUGUAGCGGUGAAAUGCUUAGAUAUGACAUAGAACACCAGUUGCGAAGGCAGCUUACUACAUAUAAAUUGACGCUGAGGCACGAAAGCGUGGGGAUCAAACA
rnacentral:rRNA from 1 species